GCUGGUUGCGUUGGCAUGUGCCUGUAGUCCCAGCUACUCGGGAGGCUGAGGCUGGAGGAUCGCUUGAGUCCAGGAGCUCUGGGCUAUAGUGCGCUAUGCUGAUCAGGUGUCCACAGUAAGUUUGGCAUCAAUAUGGUGACCUCCCAGGAGCUGGGGACCACCAGGUUGCCUAAGGAGGGGUGAACCAGCCCAGGUCAGAAAUGCAGCAGGUCAAAAGUCCCGUGCUGAUCACUAGUGGGAUCGCGCCUGUGAAUAGCCACUGCACUCCAGCCUGGGCAACAUAGUGAAACCCUGUCUCU
rnacentral:SRP_RNA from 1 species